rnacentral:lncRNA from 10 species
GGCCCUUAGCUCCAAAUGGAUCAGCAGCUCCCCCAGCUGGCAGUGCAUUUAAUCCCACCUCGAAUAGUAGUUCUACAAAUCCUGCAGCAAGUAGUUCUGCAUCUGGUUCCUCUGUGCCACCGGUCUCAUCGUCUGCCUCUGCUCCUGGUAUUAGCCAGAUAAGCACUACCUCUUCUUCAGGAUUCAGUGGUAGUGUUGGAGGGCAGAACCCCAGCACUGGGGGCAUUUCUGCGGAUAGAACGCAAGGGAACAUAGGCUGUGGUGGAGACACUGACCCUGGGCAGAGCUCUUCUCAGCCCUCACAGGAUGGACAAGAGAGUGUUACAGAAAGGGAGAGAAUAGGAAUUCCCACGGAGCCUGACUCUGCAGACAGCCAUGCCCACCCUCCAGCUGUUGUCAUUUACAUGGUGGACCCGUUCACGUAUGCUGCAGAGGAGGACUCCACUUCUGGGAACUUUUGGCUGUUGAGCUUGAUGCGCUGCUACACAGAAAUGCUGGAUAAUUUACCUGAGCAUAUGAGAAAUUCUUUCAUUCUCCAGGUUACUGUUUGCAAGUUUAUUAUUUACUUUUGAUGUUGUUAUUUUUGUUGUUAUGAAAAUAAAUACAGGCCUAUGAUUUUUCUUAAAAAAUGGAAGUACAGGUUAAUUAUCCCCUAACCAAAAUACUAGGAACCAGAGUGUUUUGGAUUUCCGAUUUUGGAAUAUUUGCAUAUAUAUAAUGGGAGACCUUUGCAGUGGGCCCAAGUCUAAACAUAAAAUUUAUUUAUGUUUCAUAUACACCUUACACACAUAACCUGAAGGUAAUUUUAUACAAUAUUUUUGGUCAUGUUGUGCUUUAUACAAAGUUUUGAUUAAAUUUUGACUGCAAUACAUCACAUGAGGUCUGAUAACGGAAUUUUCCACUUGUGGCGUUUUAUUGGCAUUCCAAAAGUUUUGGGUUUUGGUGCAUUUUGGAUUUCAGAUUUUUUGAUUAGGGAUAUUCAACCUGUACAUGAAAGUAUAAAAGAAAAAUAGUCAUAAUUCCGUCUUUUACAUUCAACCA